GACCUGGUGGUGUAAUGGUUAACACAUCUGUUGAGUUUUACAGUGAUGCCUGAAGAUUAAUAUGCAGGAGAUUUGCGUUCGAUCCGUGGUCAGGUCG